CCUACGGGAGGCUGCAGUCGAGAAUCAUUCACAAUGGGGGAAACCCUGAUGGUGCGACGCCGCGUGGGGGAAUGAAGGUCUUUGGAUUGUAAACCCCUGUCAUGUGGGAGCAAAUCAAAAAGAUCGUACCACAAGAGGAAGAGCCGGCUAACUCUGUGCCAGCAGCCGCGGUAAUACUGAGGUCUCAAGUGCUGUUCGGAAUGACUGGGCGUAAAGGGUGCGUAGGCGGGUACGUAAGUCGGGUGUGAAAGGCGCGGGCUCAACCCGCGGAAGGCAAGUGAUACUGCGAGACUAGUGUUAGGGAGAGGUAACCGGAAUUCGUGGUGUAGCGGUGAAAUGCGUAGAUAUCGGGAGGAACACUCGUGGCGAAGGCGGGUUCCUGGACGUUAACUGACGCUGAGGCACGAAGGCGAGGGGAGCGAAAGGGAUUAGAUACCCCAGUAGUC
rnacentral:rRNA from 1 species